AUACAGUGAUGCUUGCAUAGUUCAGCAGAUGGAACAGUGACGAAAUAUACCACAUAAUCUGAUGUAUCU
rnacentral:snoRNA from 13 species